GCGUGGAUUAGGCAUGCAAGUCGAGCGAGAAGCUUCCUUCGGGAAGUGGACAGCGGCGAAAGGGAGAGUAAUACGUAGAAAUCUGCCCCGGAGUCUGGGAUAGCGUUGGGAAACUGGCGGUAAUACCGGAUAACGUCUUCGGACCAAAGAAUUUCGCUCUGGGAUGAGUCUACGACCUAUUAGCUGGUUGGUGAGGUAACGGCUCACCAAGGCGACGAUGGGUAGCGGGUGUGAGAGCAUGAUCCGCCUCACUGGGACUGAGACACUGCCCAGACAUCUACGGAUGGCUGCAGUCGAGAAUCUUUGUCAAUGGACGAAAGUCUGAACAAGCGACGCCGCGUGCGGGAUGAAGGCCCUCGGGUUGUAAACCGCUGUCAGAGGGGAGGAAAUUUUGACUGAACCUCAGAGGAAGGACGGGCUAAGUUCGUGCCAGCAGCCGCGGUAAGACGAACCGUCCGAACGUUAUUCGGUAUCACUGGGCUUAAAGAGUCCGUAGGCGGCCAUGUAGGUCAGAUGUGAAAUCCCACAGCUCAACUGUGGAACUGCGUUUGAAACCACAUGGCUUGAGGAAGAUAGAGGUGAGCGGAACAGAUGGUGGAGCGGUGAAAUGCGUUGAUAUCAUCUGGAACACCGGUGGCGAAAGCGGCUCACUGGAUCUUUUCUGACGCUGAGGGACGAAAGCUAGGGUAGCGAACGGGAUUAGAUACCCCGGUAGUCCUAGCCG
rnacentral:rRNA from 1 species